GUAAUCCUGCUCAGUACGAGAGGAACCGCAGGUUUAGAUAUUUGGUGUAUGUGCUUGGCUGAGAAGCCAAUGGGGCGAAGCUACGAUCUGUGGGAUUAUGACUGAACGGCUCUAAGUCAGAAUCCCACC
rnacentral:ncRNA from 1 species